GUGGUCCUAGGCAGAGCUGAUGACCCAGGAGCCGCGCGCAGGUUUUAUUAGCCUGGAAUCAACUGGGGCGUGAUGAAUGGAGGCGAAGUAACCGCCGUGAAACCGGAAUCGUCCGACUCACGCCAUUAAUUAGCAACUAAUUUCAGAGCUGUCUCGGAUGGUUGAUGUCCGGAAAGCCACGUGCCAAUUGACCAGCGGUGGCAAGAUUAGAAAGAUUUAGAUAAUCCAGGGCAGAGCCUGGGUAUGUGAUCGCUGACACAGCUGUGGUCUGCAAGAGAAAAGCCAGUCGCCUACAAAGUCAAACCAGGCUGUCACUCAUCACGGAAAUCCAGUUGCUCACCCUGACACUUGCAAUAAAUCAGAGAAAUGGCUACAUAAACACUUGGGAACACUGAAGCCUUUCUGAGAAGGCACCUGCCUUUCCUUCCAUGUAUCUACACAGGAGCCUUUAAACCCAAGCAACUUCCCUUGUAAACCAGACAAAGUCCAAGAAAGAAAAGGAAGGAAGGAAGGAAGGAAG
ensembl:lncRNA AABR07064867.2